rnacentral:lncRNA from 1 species
CUUAAACAAGAUAAAGUUUAUUUUUCUCACAUAAACAAAAUCCAGAGAUGAGCAAUCCGGGCUGGCAUGGCAGCUCCACCGUCAUCUGGACCCCAGGCUCCUUCUCUCUUGUUGCUCCAUGUCCUCAACCUGUGGCUUCCACCUUUCAGCCCAAGAUGGCUGCUUGAGCUCAAGCUGUUAUAUUCACAUUUCAGCCAGCAGGAAGGAGGAAAGGGGGGGAGAAGGAACUUCCUCUGGACCCUUCCUUUGACAUGGAUUUGGUCAGAACUUAGUAUCACAUUUACUCCUAACUGGGAAGCAUUUCAGAGGGCCGUGUGUCCGGCUAAAAAAUAGGGAUUGUAUUACUAUAUAAGAAGGGAAGAACAGAUAGCAGGAUACAAGAGGAGUCUCUGUACAAAAGUUGCAGGUCCGUCUAGUUGUGGCAUGUGGGACGCUGCCUCAACGUGGCCUGACGAGUGACGCCAUGUCCGCGCCCAGGAUCCGAACCAGCAAAACCCUGGGCCACCGAAGCGGAGUGCGAGAACUUAACCACUCGGCCACAGGGCCGGCCCCUAAGGGAGGUUUAAGAUUGAAUUAUUUGGGCUGCACUUUUACUGUUAUGAUGGGAAUUCUGGAAACGGUUUUAAUUGUUUGAAAGAUUAAGGCCAAUGAGCCACAGACUGGGAG